UGAAAGAGUUGCAGAGAAAACUUCGAGAGAGGGUUUAGGGUUUUAGAGUGAGUGAGAGUGAUAAGUGUGAAAUGUGAGAGAAAGUGUUUAUAUACUCUAAGUAAACACAUGCAAAACGACACCUCAGAAAGCGUUAGACACAAAACUCAAAAUGGCACGCUUGGGGGGAAAAAUGAUUACAGCUCAUAAAUGAAUGUCUAAUCCCACAGUUUGCACACUGCUCGAGGAAAAACUCAAACGUCUGCCUUUUGAAUUUCUUGACAGCUGUCUAGAAGUUCUAAGGUUUGACGCUCAGAGCUCCACGUGUUUAAUGUAUCUGAUCUUCAGGAAUACCAAGAGAUUGGUUCUGAAGAUUUCUAACUCAGAUAUCUUCUUAACAAUGUAGAAG
rnacentral:lncRNA from 1 species